UACGUAGGGGGCUAGCGUUGUCCGGAAUCACUGGGCGUAAAGGGCGCGUAGGCGGCGCGGAAAGUCGUCGGUGAAAGCUCGGGGCUCAACCCUGAGUCUGCCGGUGAUACUCCCGCGCUCGAGCUCACUAGAGGCAGAUGGAAUUCCGGGUGUAGCGGUGGAAUGCGUAGAGAUCCGGAAGAACACCGGUGGCGAAGGCGGUCUGCUGGGGUGAGGCUGACGCUGAUGCGCGACAGCGUGGGGAGCAAACAGG
rnacentral:rRNA from 1 species